rnacentral:lncRNA from 1 species
CUGGGAUUAUAGGUGUGCAGCAGUGCAUCUGGCUUAAUCCUUUAACUUGUGAAAAUUUUUUUCUUUGGCAAAGUAGCCCCAUUGACAAUCCAAGACAAAGCUUACUUGUGAUGUUGAGAACUUCCUUAUUUAUGUUUGGUGACAGCUCCUGUUAUACUUGAUUUUGCAGUACACCCACCCCAGUUCCAUUUGGGCACAUUGUCAUAUUUGGCUUAUUCUUAUUUUUGUCUACCCUACUAGAAAUUAUUCUUCACUCAGGUCCCAUGACCUUUUCUUUGAAUUAGGCUUCAAGACUAUAGAUGGUCUCUUCAGGACACCUUAAACUCUUGCUCAGAAAUAUGUUGACCUGGGCUCGGACUAUAGCUCAGUGGCAGAGUGCUUGCCUAGCACAUAUGAGGUACUAUGUUUGAUCCAUAUUUUAUCACCACAUAAAAAUAAGUCAUUCUGUUCAUCUAGAACUAUAAAAAAAGAAAUUUAAAAAUGUUGAGCCAAAUGCAGGACUUAACCCCCAGGUUUCCUGCUGGGUGUGGGAAAGAGUUGUUGAACUCAUACCCAACUGGUCUGUAAUGGUGGUAGGUCAAAUUACAAGUUGUAUGUUAAUAGAUGUCAUUAAUUUCUGGGUAUUCAAAGCUAUGACCUUCCCCUCCCUCUAAUGGGAUCUGUUUUGUGGUGCUAUAACAGAAUUUGUCAUUCUAGAGCCUGGGAAGUACUGAGUGGAGUGGCUCACAUCAUCCUAAGGCAGAAGUUACUUGCCUAUCUCUACUCCUACUGGGACAUGGGCAAUGUCUGAAGUCAUAUUUGGUUGUCACAACUUGGGGUUGCUACCAGUAUCUGGAGGUAGAAGUCCGGGAUACUAAUAAAUGCCCUACAAUACAUAGAACAGUAUCCACACACCCAAAUAUCAAUAAUGCUGAGAUUAAAAUCCUGUGAUUUCUUCUUUUUUUAGGAAAAAAAAAUAGUUUUUAAUAUUUAUUUUUUAGUUUUCGGCGUACACAACAUCUUUAUUUGUAUGUGGUGCUGAGGAUCGAACCUGGGCCGAACGCAUGCCAGGC